GUCUUGUUCCUGAUGGAUCAAAAUUAGUUCUUCAAGGCAGUAGCAGUAGAUGGCAAGAUUUUACAUUCUCCAUUUUGGAAACUUCUAUGGAAAUGUACAGAAUAUUUGGAAUAUUCUGAGCACGGUAUUUGCUAAAUCAGUAAAUGCAACAAAUGGCAUAGUCUGCCAACUAACAACCCUGACAUGGGUUAUUCUUGCACCUUGGAAUGCUUCAUACUUCCCGUGAACUUCUCUCUCUCUGUUAAACACACACACACACACACACACACACACACACACACACACACCCCACACCCCCAUACCUUCCUCUCUUAACGUGGCUGAUUCCUACUUAUCUUAGUCCCUUGUUGUCUAUGUAAUAUUACUUGUUAAAUUUGCCCCUUUUACACUGUGUUCUCAUCACAUUUGCAAUGGUAUUGUUUAAAUAUGUGUAUUCAUAUGUUGGGUGAUUACUUGUUGAAGCUCUGGAUUUUUCUCCAUACAUUCAGCUCCCUGAGGGGAAGCCAUGUCUGGGUUGCAAAUGCUGUCUUUUCAAUGUAUGGCCCAAUGCCUGGACAGAGCAGGCACUUCUGGCAGAAACAGAGUAGCUUCCGCUGAGCUUGUUUCCUUUUGCUCAUGGACAUGAGCCGGCCUCCAUUUCCUAGUCUCACUUUCAGAUGAACAUGGUCAUUUGAUGGAGUUCUGGCCAGUGGACUGCAAGUGGGAAUGACAUGUACCACUUCCCAGUCUUGCCUUUAAAAAUCUCCCCUGUGAGAACUUCCAUGCUCGUCCCUCAUACCACUGGCAUGUGGGAGUCAAGUACAGUGCUUUUGGAAGCUGUAUAUUGAAGACAUUGAAGCCAAAAGGUGGAAGGAAUCUGAGUUCCUGAGUCAUCACUGAGAAUAAAGCCAUCACCAAUCAGGGUUACCUGUAUGGACAAUACUUGAAUGAAAAGCUUUUGUUCUAUUUGAGCUUUUAUAUUUUUUAUGUAUUUGAGCUUAUUUGUCACAAUGGCUAGCAUUACCUCAAUUAAUAUAAUACUCAUUCUUUUUAAUUUUAUUUAAAAAAUUAUUGGGGUAUAGUUGAUUUACAAUGUUGUAUUAGCAUUAGGUUUACAGCAAAGUGAAUCAGUUAGACAUCUACACAUAUCUAUUCUUUUUUUCCAUAUAAGUUAUUACAGAACAUUGAGUAAACCUCCCUGUGCUGUACAGCCGGUCCUUAAUACUCAUUUUGUGUGUGUGUGUGUGUGUGUGUGUGUGUGUGUGUGUGUGUGUGCAUGUGGAAUUAAUAGAUGCACACAGAGAAACAGAUAUCUAGGUACAGAUUGUAUCAUUAGAUAUGUGGAGGCCAUAUAAUGCCAAUCUUCAAGGUAUGAAAAGAUAAAUGAUUUCAUGGGUAGGAGUGAGUUGGUAUACCAGCAAUCUAAAAUUCCCUUGCAGCCAUGAGACACAUCCCUCAGACUGAAGUUAACAGAAGCUUGAUCUCCCUUUGCAGCUAUAAAUCUAUAAAUACCCUCUCUUCUUUAAGACACCUAUCGUUCCCAGCUGCUAUAGACUGAAUGUUUGUGUUCCUCCCAAAUCCAUUUGUUGGAAUCCCCAAUGUGUUGAUAUUGGGAGAUGGGGCCUUUGGGUGGUGACAAGGUCACGAGGGCUUCACCCUUACUAUAGUACUUUAACAUGAGAACUUGAUAUCUGUGGGGUUAAUGCCCCUACAAAUCAGGCUGCAGAGAGUUCCUUCAUGCUCUCUUCCACUUGAGGAGAUGGCUGUCUAUGAACUAUGAAGUGAGACUUCAUCAGACAUGCUUAGCUGUUGGUGUCUGUAUCUUGGACUUCACCGCCCCAAGAACUGUGAGAAAUAAAUUUCUGUUGUUUAUAAGGCUCUCAUUCUCUGGUAUUUUGUUACAGCAGCCUAAACAUACAAGAACGAGUGCUCUCUAUUCAAACACCAUCCUCCCUUCCUGUGCCAUUUUACCAGGUAUUAAUCCAACAUUUUACCAGGUAUUAAUGAUCUUUUUUUUUUUUUUAAUUUUCCCACUGUACAGCAAGGGGGUCAGGUUAUCCUUACAUGUAUACAUUGCAAUUACAGUUUUUCCCCCACUCUUUCUUCUAUUAAUGAUCUUUUGAAGCCAACUUGUAUGGAGGAGUAAACCACUGCUUUCUGCUUCAUUUUUCAUAGGGAGGAUAUGCAUUUUUAGGAAGAAUGGCAAUAAUUGGUCUUUCAUUGCUGAAAUUUCAGGAGCAAAUUAAAAUGGAGCAAAGAUUAUUAAGCAGCAGAAGGCCACUUAUACUCUCAUCACCCCAAAGUAUUUGCAAUACUCUAUCCAGAAUGCAGAGCUGAAUGAUAGUGGAGGUCUCAGAUCUUGAUAAAAAUAUAAAACCUCCUUCUCGGCCCUAAACUUCAACCUCUGGGCUUCUGUUAUUGAGGGGAAAAUAAUUCUUAACUGAAAUAGGCACCAAUGUCUUAUGACCAUGUACUGCCUUCCAGCAUCAUGGAUGCUAAGUGACAGAGAGGAGAAGUAGAUGUUAUAGGGCCAGGAAAACUUUUUAGAAAUGCUUUGUCACGGAUUCAGUUUGACAAAGAUGUAAGAGAUGAGGCAACUGAAAAAAAUUCUACUCCACCUGGGACCUUUCUUCUUAGAAGGGUAGGACCUGGUGAUGAAGCCCAGACCUGAUGGACCAGAAGAAUCUGCAGUGACCUUGCCUACAUCCCCCACUCCCAGGCCUAAGAACUAAAGACAGCCCAUCUAGUAUAUCAGGACAUUAAAGGACCAGUUCUUGCUGUGAAUGAGAUCUGGAUAAAGUGUGUUAUUCCCAAGCAAGGUUUAAAGUCCUGGAUGAAUAUAGCAUCACUGCUGCCUCCGUGAGUCCUGGGCUGUUGCCUUCUCUCCUCACCCUCACCAUCUGUGGCCUGUCUGCUUGAAUAACUGAGGAACUUCAUUCUAAAGUACCCUUAGGAUUAAAACCUAACUCUACAUCUCAAGAUGGUUAGUUGGGAUUCAAGGCUAUCUUAUCCUGCUAUGCCCCUUUCCCAUAGAGCUAAAUUCAGAUAGACUUUCUUGACUCAUAGCUGAGCCACCUACUCAGCAAUGGCCAGUCCUUUCCUAAAAGCCCUUGAAUCUUUUCUCCAGCAUUUAAUUUCAUGUGCUUAUGCUGCUCUUCACGGUAACCUGCCUUAAGGUCCUGGGCAAUGUAUUAUUUACCACCAUAUCCCCAGGGCUCAGCAUGGAGUUUGGUGCAGAGAAGGUCAAUUUUAAGUAUACACUGUCUAUGUAAAUGAUUUGGUGGUUUGGAAAACUGAUCCAUAGUGGAGAAAAGACCAACUCAUGCUGCUCUGAUUCAUUUUCUUUCUCCUGUUUGUUUCCACCUUAGGCCACAUAACCAAAGCCAUAACCCAGAGUUUGGCCAAGUGUCACCUAUAGAUUUUUCCCAACUGAGGAUAUGGGAAGUAGGAAGUGUCAAACAUAGUGAAACAUAGUGUAGUAACCUGCUACUACUGUUAGAGAUAGAGUAGGCACAGGUGGUUGUAGAAGUCCCAGUAGGGGAUCAUAGAUAAAGAGGGAAACCUGAGGGAUGUUGGGAGACCACUGUAAGUUCAGGAAAGCCAUCAGAACAAGGCAGGCUUGCUUAACUAGUGGAGGUGUGAGAAUUGCUUCAGGUCAUUGAGUGGGGGAUGGGAUGAGGCUGCCUCCAGAUUCAGACCAAGGCCAGAGUUUGAAGACUGCUCUUCAGCUGAUUUGAAGACACAUCUUACCUGAUACUAAGGAGGAGCUACUACUCCCAGAAAGGAAGAGGCAGGCCUUUCUCCUCUUGGAGGAUAAAACUGUGGCCCACUGGCUCCUCAGGCAGAGCUUCCUUGCCUGCCCACUUGCAUCUCUUAUAAGCAUCCUAGCCUAACAAAUCUAUUUCUUGCCUAUCACUUUAUCUCUUGCUGAAUUCCUUCUGGGUGGAGGCAUAAAGAACCUGAACCUUAGUGAGUCCAGACAGAGGGUGAGUAACUUGAAUUUAAAACCAUGGGUUUAAAUGUCAAUCGACAGAUGAUUGGUUUAGGAAGAUGUGGUAUAUAUGCAAAAUGGAAUACUACUCAGCCAUAGAAAAGAACAAAAUAAUGCCAUUUGCAGCAACAUAGAUGGAACCAGAGACUCUCAUCCUGAGUGAAGUAAGUCAGAAAGAGAAAGACUAAUACCAUAUGAUAUCACAUAUCUGAAAUCUAAUAUUUGGCACAAAGGAAACUUUCCACAGAAAAGAAACUCAUGGACUGGGAGAAUAGACUUCUGGUUGCCGAGGGGGAAGGAGUGGGAUGGAUUGGGAGCUUGGGGAUAAUACAUGCAGACCACUGCCUUUGGAAUGGAUUAGCAAUGAGAUGCUGCUGUGUAGCACUGGGACCUAUGUCUAAUCACUUAUGAUGGAGCAUGAUAAUGUAAGAAAAAAAUGUAUACAUGUAUGUGUGACUGGGUCACCAUGCUGUACAGUAGAAAAUAUAAAAUAAAAUAAUUUCCUUUAUAAGAAAAAAAAUAAUAAAGCCAUGGGUUUAAGUCCAAAUCUGGCUUUAGGUUGUGUUCAAGUCCCGGCAUGUGGAUUCAAGUUCCAGUCUGGGUUUUGGCUGGGUUUAAGUCCUGGCAUGUUGGUUCAAGUCCUAAUCUGUGUUCUGGCUGUCAGUUUCACUACUACUAAAAGUUUUGGGCAAUAAGUUUUUUUUUUCCCCCCUAAGGGAAUAUAGAGCUGGCAGAAAUUUGACCUCAGGGAGAUGAGAUAGUUGAUCACACUGGAAAGGACUAAAGAAUGAAAAGUAGAUUGCUUUAAAUCUAAGGUUCUGAAAUACACGGAGCACAACGUGGCCACUAAAUCCUAACAAUAGUAUUUCAGUAGUAAUUGUAGGAGUAACUGUGGUGACUGCAACAAUUAUGAUCAUUGCCAUCUUGUCAUCACUAUCACCACGUAUUAGUAUUCGAAGGUCCUUCCAGGACUCCUGCUGCCAUAGCUGUGCCCCAAGGAAACAAUUCUCGCAUUCCCUCUGCUUUGUUUCUCCAGCUGUAGAGUCAGAGCCUUAGAAAGGGGAGAGAGACAGAUGGAGACCAGGUUAUACAUCCACACCUCACAUGCCAGGCAGCUGGGAAAAGGAAAUCCUCCAUUUCCAUCUCUGAGGAAAGUACGAGAUGUGAAUCACUUUUUCCAUAUUCCACAUAUAAAGGAUGGUGGACCCUCCAAGGAUGUUUGUAUUUGAAUGAAGCUGGAAAACUUUCACCACACUACACUGACUUUACAAUAUUUUUAUGCUUUUGUUUCCUAUUUCCCUCUGUAAACAUAUAAAAUAUCUUACUUUCCAUUUAAUUCAUGUGGAAUAUUACUGAAUAGAAAUAAUCAAAAUAACAAAAAUUGGUAAUGUCUAAAACUUUGCAUGAUUAAAUAUGUUUCAGGUGAAGGAGUUCCCAUCCUGGCACAGCAGAAAUGAAUCUGACUAGGAACCAUGAGGUUGUAGGUUUGAUCCCUGGCUUUGCUCUGUGGGUUAAGGAUCCAACGUUGCUGUGAGCUGUGGUGUAGGUCACAGAUACGGCUCAGAUCCUGUGUUGCUGUGGCUGUGGUGUAGGCCAGCAGAUGUAGCUCUGAUUUGACCCCUAGCCUGGGAACCUCCAUAUGCCAUGACUGCGGCCCUAAAAAAGAAAAAAUUGAGGAAUCAACUGGGGAAAUAAUGUUUUCUGGAGAAAUAAUGAAACCAUUAUAGGCUAAAACUAGAUAAAGUAAAAAAUUGACAAGACAUUAAUAAGUAAAUAAAAUAAUUUAGACAUAAUUUAUAGAUGCAAAAUUGAGUUAAGAAAAUUAGACUUUGGGGAAAUAAUGGCCCCCCAAAAAACUUCCCAUGGCAGUUUAACACAGAUGAAAAAAUAAAUAGGGGUUCCCAUCGUGGCUGAGUGGUUAAUGAAUCUGACUAGGAACCAUGAGGUUGAGGGUUCGAUCCCUGGCCUUGCUCAGUGGGUUAAGGAUCCGGUGUUGCCGGGAGCUGUGGUGUAGGUUGCAGACGCAGCUCGGAUCCCGCGUUGCUGUGGCUCUGGCGUAGGUCACUGGCUACAGCUCCGAUUAGACCCCUAGCCUGGGAAUCUCCAUUUGCCACAGGAUCAGCUCAAGAAAUGGCAAAAG
rnacentral:lncRNA from 1 species